CCUACGGGUGGCAGCAGUGAGGAAUAUUGGUCAAUGGGCGUAAGCCUGAACCAGCCAAGUCGCGUGAGGGAUGAAGGUUCUAUGGAUCGUAAACCUCUUUUAUAAGGGAAUAAAGUGUGGGACGUGUCCUCUUUUGUAUGUACCUUAUGAAUAAGGAUCGGCUAACUCCGUGCCAGCAGCCGCGGUAAUACGGAGGAUCCGAGCGUUAUCCGGAUUUAUUUGGUUUAAAGGGUGCGUAGGCGGGCUUUUAAGUCAGCGGUGAAAGUCUGUGGCUCAACCAGAGAGUUGCCGUUGAAACUGGGAGUCUUGAGUAGGUUUGAGGCAGGCGGAAUGCGUGGUGUAGCGGUGAAAUGCUUAGAUAUCACGCAGAACCCCGAUGGCGAAGGCAGCCUGCCGAGCCAUGACUGACGCUGAUGCACGAAAGCGUGGGGAUCAAACAGGAUUAGAUACCCUGGUAGUC
rnacentral:rRNA from 1 species